rnacentral:sRNA from 1 species
UGGAUACCGCUAAGCGGCGGCGCAGUAUUCUAGUCAGAUCUGCCGUUUCCCAGGAAGGGCCUAAAAAUCCUUUGAAGGGCAUAUCGAUGAAACCCGUGGUGCCUGCUUGAUACGCCCAGUUUUGGGUGGGUGCUGGGGGGAAGCGCGUGAAAAUGUGCUUGCGGAUUCAGGGCGAUGACCAAUGGCAUGGUCAACCCGCCCCUGUUUCUGUGGAGACCUGUUCUUGUGCGCGGACGUACUCCCAUUGUGGUAUUUCCGGCCCGCGUACGAAGCAGAUUGUGAACCUGCAAUGCGGUGCAUCGGUCUUUCGGGGCCGUAACGCUGUGUGCAGCCGUAGCCUGCCUUGACGUGGGGCGGGUGGAUGGGGGAUCUACGUGGCGUUCCAGCUCCGGCCAGAGCGGGAGAUCCACGAUCGCCUCCUGAAACCCGGUCUGCAAAAGAGGCUAAAGAAGCGGACAGACUGUGGUGGAAAACACCUAGGCUGUUCUAGCGAGGCAGAAAAGGGAUUGCAGUGCGGACUAAGUGGCAAUCGGGUAGCGCGGACAGGCGACGCCGUGCCGGAGCGCUGAAAGGGGAACCGCCUCCAUCGGCAACGAGGGGUGCGCUCCGGGGAAAUCCAACCCGUACCUAAGCCGUAAGAUUUACCUUUUUUGCCGCCGCCGUCUUAGCAUAUGAU